ACAUGCCUACAACAUAGCAUUAAUGCAAUGGAUCCCAUUAGAACUCCACAGUUAAGCAUGCUCAUGCUAGAGUAGUACUGGGAUGGGUGACCGCUCGGGAAGUCCCAAUGUUUUACAUGCC
rfam:Picea glauca, whole genome shotgun sequence.